rnacentral:rRNA from 1 species
GACGAACGCUGGCGGCGUGCUUAACACAUGCAAGUCGAACGGAAAGGCCCUGCUUUUGUGGGGUGCUCGAGUGGCGAACGGGUGAGUAACACGUGAGUAACCUGCCCUUGACUUUGGGAUAACUUCAGGAAACUGGGGCUAAUACCGGAUAGGAGCUCCUGCUGCAUGGUGGGGGUUGGAAAGUUUCGGCGGUUGGGGAUGGACUCGCGGCUUAUCAGCUUGUUGGUGGGGUAGUGGCUUACCAAGGCUUUGACGGGUAGCCGGCGUGAGAGGGUGACCGGCCACAUUGGGACUGAGAUACGGCCCAGACUCCUACGGGAGGCAGCAGUGGGGAAUAUUGCACAAUGGGCGGAAGCCUGAUGCAGCAACGCCGCGUGCGGGAUGACGGCCUUCGGGUUGUAAACCGCUUUCGCCUGUGACGAAGCGUGAGUGACGGUAAUGGGUAAAGAAGCACCGGCUAACUACGUG